UACAGAGGUCCCAAGCGUUGUUCGGAUUCACUGGGCGUAAAGGGUGCGUAGGUGGCCAGGUAAGUUCGGUGUGAAAUCUCCUGGCUUAACUGGGAGGGUGCGCCGGAAACUGGAGUGCUUGAGCGUGGGAGAGGAAAGCGGAAUUCCUGGUGUAGCGGUGAAAUGCGUAGAUAUCUGCAGGAACACCCGUGGCGAAAGCGGCGAGCUGGAUCACUACUGACGCUGAGGAACGAAAGCUAGGGGAGCAAACAGG
rnacentral:rRNA from 1 species